GCCCGUGUGACGUGGAGGAGCUGAGGAGAGAGCUGGACUGUCUGUAGGAGCAGUAUGAGCAGACCGUCCAGCAGAGGACACUCAUCCGACUGGAGUGGGAGGACGUUGGCCUGGAAGUGGAUGUAAAGACGGCAGACUGUCUGGCCCUGAGGGAGCAGGUGGAAAUCUACCAGGAACAACUGGCUCACAUGGAGGCACAGCAUGAAGAGAGAAGGGACAUCUCAGAGAAAGGACUGGCCGGAUGGCCAACAUCAAUUACACAAAACGGUUCAGAACAUGGUGGUCCCUGUAGAAGGUCCAGCUGCAGCAGGGAGAGAAGUCCUGGAGUUUUACAACCCUGACAUCCAGGAUAUCAAGGAGUACUACAGCCAGCUGGCUGA